rnacentral:ncRNA from 1 species
GCCGACACUGGGACUGACGACACGGCCCARGACUCCUACGGGAGGCAGCAGUGGGGGAAUAUUGCACAAUGGGCGCAAGCCUGAUGCAGCGACGCCGCGUGAGGGAUGACGGCCUUCGGGUUGUAAACCUCUUUCAGUAGGGAAGAAGCCUCUCGGGGUGACGGUACCUGCAGAAGAAGCGCCGGCUAACUACGUGCCAGCAGCCGCGGUAAUACGUAGGGGCGCAAGCGUUGUCCGGGAAUUAUUGGGGCGUAAAGAGCUCGUAGGCGGUCUGUCGCGUCUGCUGUGAAAAACGCGGGGGGCUCAACCCCCGCGCCUGCAGUGGGGUACGGGCAGACUAGAGUGCGGUAGGGGGAGACUGGAAUUCCUGGUGUAGCGGUGGAAUGCGCAGAUAUCAGGA